rnacentral:rRNA from 1 species
UACGUAUGGGGCGAGCGUUAUCCGGAUUUACUGGGUGUAAAGGGAGCGUAGACGGCCAUGCAAGCUCGGUGUGAAAGGUGCGGGCACAACCCGCAGACUGCACUGAGAACUGUAUGGCUGGAGUGCCGGAGGGGCAGGCGGAAUUCCUGGUGUAGCGGUGAAAUGCGUAGAUAUCAGGAGGAACACCGGUGGCGAAGGCGGCCUGCUGGACGGCGACUGACGUUGAGGCUCGAAAGCGUGGGGAGCGAACAGG